rnacentral:misc_RNA from 1 species
GAUGAAGAACGUAGCGAAAUGCGAUAAGUAAUGUGAAUUGCAGAAUUCAGUGAAUCAUCGAAUCUUUGAACGCUCAUUGCGACCGUCAGUAUUCUGGCGGGCAUGCCUGUUCGAGCGUCAUUACGCCCCUCAAGUCCCCUGUGGACUUGGUGUUGGGGAUCGGCGAGGCUGGUUUUCCAGCACAGCCGUCCCUUAAAUUAAUUGGCGGUCUCGCCGUGGCCCUCCUCUGCGCAGUAGUAAAACACUCGCAACAGGAGCCCGGCGCGGUCCACUGCCGUAAAACCCCCCAACUUUUUAUAGUUGACCUCGAAUCAGGUAGGACUACCCGCUGAACUUAAGCAUAUCAAUAAGCGGAGGA